CCCUGAUGACGUAAGCGGGGAAACGCCUACGUGACGUGACGGCGCCUCCGGAGGCGCAUGACGUCCGCGUGACGCAGCGGCAGGCUGCUCCGGACCUGGGACUUGACGUCAGACGUAGCACCCGCUUCCGGUGGCGGUUGCCGGGGCAACCGGGACGCGGCCAGCGUGGAGUCUGCGUCUCGGUGCGAGUGCUGACCUCAGGCGACCCCAGGAGGGAUCGGAGGACCCUACCAUCCCCGCGCUGCCAGCUGCCAGCUGCCAGCUGCCAGCUGCCGCAGCCGCAGGCCAUGCGGAGCUCCCUGCUCCCCAGCGCCUCGCUCCCGGUCUCUCCCCCAGGGGCGCAGGUUUAAAGAUCUUCCAAGCACCCGUUUCUACCUGCAGGUGGGUUGAGAACUGGAGAAACCAAAGGGUGACAUGAGAGGCAGCAGUGAGAGGCAAGUAGGAAAUACUGAACUUUGGGCCGGAAAGGGCUGAAUCCAAUCCCCAGUCCACAUCUGCCAGCUGUGUGGCCCUGGGCAAAUGGCUUAAUGCGUCUGAGCCUGUUUCCUCACCUGUGAGAUGGCUGUCGAAGUACCUGUCCUGCUGGGUUGCUGUGACAGGAGAGGGAAUGUGUGGGGAAUGGUUGGCACAUGGCAAUUCUCAGUAUACGGCCCCUAGAACAACAGCUGGAGUCACUGCUGCAGAGGUAACAGUUGCCAGAUACAGAACCGUCCUCUUCCGUGAUCCAAACCCACGCCCCCAAAACCACCAAUGACCAGCAAACACCACUCUUUAGAAGACCACCCCCGUUGUCGCGAUCGGAACA